GACAGAGGGGGCAAGCGUUGCUCGGAAUUACUGGGCGUAAAGGGCGCGUAGGCGGGAUGGCAAGUCGGUCGUGAAAUCCCUCGGCUCAACUGAGGAUCGUCGAUCGAUACUGCCGUUCUUGAGGGUUGCAGAGGAGACUGGAAUUCCCGGUGUAGCGGUGAAAUGUGUAGAGAUCGGGAGGAACACCGGUGGCGAAGGCGGGUCUCUGGGCAAUUCCUGACGCUGAGGCGCGAAAGCGUGGGGAGCAAACGGG
rnacentral:rRNA from 1 species